AGGUCCAGACACACCGGACGCGAUUCGACAACGCGACGCGAUUUUUCGAUUUUCACUGACCGAUAACUUUGGUUCUAAUUUAAAUUUUCCAAAUAUUUAGAAGCGCUAUAACAUUUGGAGUUAUUUGGUCUACGUAUCGUUCAAAACUUGCUCUCAUUGGCUGUUUUAUUAACUUUCAAAAACUAAAAAAUCGCGUCGCGUUGUCGAAUCGCGUCCGGUGUGUCUGGACCU